CACGAUUAAAACUGUUAUGAAAACUCGGGUCGCAAAUACUUAAAGGUUGAGAAACGCUGGUCUAACGUGUUCAGUUCAGGGAGUUGGUUCUAUGACUUAAUAUUCUGUUCCAAAAGGGGUCGUCAAUACUGUGAGGGCUGUGGCUGCUAUGUUUCAUACAGGCCGCUCCUGCCUUCCUCUUAUGGUAUCAACACAUUGAGCAGCAGCAUGUGCUUGAACUGUAAGCCAGUGUAAGAGGUGGCUAUUUUUACAGUAUGAGCUGACCUGUGUUCCAGAAGGGUUUUUCUGAAAAAUUAAUAAAAGGAUACUAAAUGAGCACCUAAUUCUUCUUCCUCGAGUCACAGGAGGUUGGAGUCCAUCCUGGCAGCACUAACAGCAAGAUAAACAUCAGGCGUGUCAUUGAGCUGUUGGAGGAAAGCAGAGUCCCCAGAGAAAACGGACAUAGACAAUAUAGACAAUAUGAAAAUUCCACACAGGCAGUGACCAGGUGGAGAUUCAAACCUGGGAAUCUAGAACUUUAAGGUAGGACUGCCAGCCAUUGUGUUACUAAGGU